GAAGUAUUGUUUAUCAAAUGAUCCAGUGACAAAGUGAAAGUGUUUACAAUUAACCAAAAUACAAUUAUGAUAAACUUUUCAACAGAUGUUUUUCGAGGCUAUUGAUGUAACGAAAUGUUGCUUUUAUAGUCUCUCCGGGAAUAUGAUUAUGUUCAGGUUUCGUCUCAUACAAAACCUUGAUGUCGAUCAGUGUCUCGGCUUCUGAUACUUGAGUUAACUUAAAAGCAGUCGUGUAUGCAGUAAACCCAUGGUCCAGAUGCCCCCCUUCCAGUAUUUCAAGAGCUAUCUGAUACGUCGAUUCAUCAUACUCCACAAUCUUCUCUAAUUGGUGGCUCACAUUUAGUACACCUAACACACAUGAAAAUGAGCAAGUGCUUACCCGGGCAGAAUUUGAAUAGCAGCAGGCUUCCAUAGCCACCAUCUCCUUCAAGCAACUCAACUUCCGCUACAAUAUCCGGUAAAACCUUGGGCACGACGUGCCUAUUGUCGCUCGCCAUUGCCUUCCAUAAGUCUUUGAUCGGCACAGAAACAGU
rnacentral:lncRNA from 1 species